rnacentral:rRNA from 1 species
UGGGAUAUACUGACGCUCAGACACGAAAGCGUGGGGAGCAAACAGCGAUCACAUACCCUGGUAGUCCACGCCCUAAACGAUGUCAACUAGCUGUUGGGGCCGUUAGGCCUUAGUAGCGCAGCUAACGCGUGAAGUUGACCGCCUGGGGAGUACGGUCGCAAGAUUAAAACUCAAAGGAAUUGACGGGGACCCGCACAAGCGGUGGAUGAUGUGGAUUAAUUCGAUGCAACGCGAAAAACCUUACCUACCCUUGACAUGUCUGGAAAGCCGAAGAGAUUUGGCCGUGCUCGCAAGAGAACCGGAACACAGGUGCUGCAUGGCUGUCGUCAGCUCGUGUCGUGAGAUGUUGGGUUAAGUCCCGCAACGAGCGCAACCCUUGUCAUUAGUUGCUACGCAAGAGCACUCUAAUGAGACUGCCGGUGACAAACCGGAGGAAGGUGGGGAUGACGUCAAGUCCUCAUGGCCCUUAUGGGUAGGGCUUCACACGUCAUACAAUGGUCGGGACAGAGGGUCGCCAACCCGCGAGGGGGAGCCAAUCUCAGAAACCCGAUCGUAGUCCGGAUCGCAGUCUGCAACUCGACUGCGUGAAGUCGGAAUCGCUAGUAAUCGCGGAUCAGAAUGUCGCGGUGAAUACGUUCCCGGGUCUUGUACACACCGCCCGUCACACCAUGGGAGUGGGUUUCACCAGAAGUAGGUAGCCUAACCGCAAGGAGGGCGCUUACCACGGUGGGAUUCAUGACUGGGGUGAAGUCGUAACAAGGUAGCCGUAUCGGAAGGUGCGGCUGGAUCACCUCCUUCUAGACUGCAGAAA